UACGUAGGGUGCAAGCGUUGUCCGGAAUUAUUGGGCGUAAAGGGCUCGUAGGCGGUCCAUCACGUCGGGAGUGAAAAGCUGGGGCUUAACCCCAGUCCUGCUUCCGAUACGGGUGGACUAGAGUGCUGUAGGGGAGACUGGAAUUCCUGGUGUAGCGGUGAAAUGCGCAGAUAUCAGGAGGAACACCGGUGGCGAAGGCGGGUCUCUGGGCAGCAACUGACGUGAGGAGCGAAAGCGUGGGGAGCGAACAGG
rnacentral:rRNA from 1 species